UUUGAGAGAGAGAGAACAAGCAGGGGAAAGGCAGGGGCAGAGGGAGAAGCAGACUCCCUGCUGCAUAGGGAGCCUGACUUGGAGCUCAAUGCCAGGACCCUGGGAUCAUGACCUGAGCUGAAAGCAGACGCUUAACCACUGAACCACCAAGGCACCGUGCAAAACACUUUUUAAUGUAAUUUUUAAAAUUGUGUAUCUGAAGUAUAUUUUGAGAAAUUUUAUCCAAAUAUUUCAAUGAAUGAAGGCUUCUGGUUUAAAGUGGCAAAUGUGACUGAUGUAGCCUUUCCUAAAUUCUCACUGAAACAUCUAUGAAGACCAAAAUAAUGGAAAUUCACACCAUCCAUUCAAAUUAGGAUUGAUGCUCAGCUUAAUGUCAGAAUCUAGGAGGAUUUCCCAUUACCUACUACAAGCCUCACAGGAUCAAAUUUUUAAAUGUUAUAUUAUGCCAAUCCACAAGCUAUGCCUCACCUUCUGCCCCUAGACCAGAAACUCAGGGUCUCUACUAACUAGGAAACUGACCAAGCUGUAGCUUUUCAAGUCAUCAAGAAUUGUGCCCACACCUCAGAUAAUAUUUCCCUUUAUAUGUCCAAGGGGAGAUAGAGUUCCCAGAAAACUGGUUAAGCAUGGAGAAAUGACUAGAAGUACCAUUUGGCAUUCCAGGAUGCACAUUUCCUACGACUAAUUUAGUAGAUAGGGAACGAAUAUCAAAAGAGGCUUAGAAGAACAUUCUGGGGAUUAUCAUUUUCAUGCUGAGAGUGUCCAAUUCAGCAGUUGUCAACAUCACAGCAGAACCACAAGAAAUUAAAACUCACUUACAGGAGGAGUUGGACUACAUACCAUUUGUAUCAACUUGAUGACUGGCUGAAGAUCUAAAAGGGGAUUUGACCACCACUCAAGUGGUCAGAAAAGCCAAUUUGAUAAGCACAGUGUCUGGAAAAACUAUUCCUUUUUCAAAAAGGAUAAAACAAAAGGGCAAAGCAAAGAAGUCUAUUGUGGAGCAUGAAGACUCAGAGGAAUGGUGGAUUUCUAAAAGUGAUAUACGAAACCAGAAGAAAAUUUGAAGAAAUAAUUUGGCCUCCUAAAGAAAAUAAUGGCCACUAUAAAACAGUAAACAAAAGACAUUUAGUGAGAAUAAUAAUAGAAUAAAAGUAUAGAAAAGAAUUUCAAGGUGAUAUAAAAGAUUUUGUACUGAAAGGAACCCAGUAAUGAUACUUAACCAGAGGAAACCAAGUGAGCUUGCUACUAUGAUAAGAAGUAUGGCCACUGUGGUAACCAGAACAUUUCAACAACAGGAACUUUUGGGGUCAUGAGCUUUUUAGGAACAAAAUACUACCUAAUCCAUAACACAACUGAGAGCCAUGACUCCUCAACCAAUUCUGAGACCUAAGGCAAUUUACACUCCUAUAGUCCCCUUGAAUGCAGGGAAGGUUAUAACUUGAGGAAGGCCCUUGAAAUAACAUCAAAGUAUGUUCUGCCAUCUUUCUUCUGGCCUUUCUUGAUGGAGCUUGCACCCAUUCACUAGGGUUACAGUGCACUAAGGAAAGGAACAUCUCCAAAACAUUCAGAUAUUUACCAUUUACUCUGAGUCAACACAAAUUCAUAGAAAGUGAUAUUGUUACAGUGGUCCACUUGUCAAAAUGGUCCCCAAAUAAAGAAAUAAAAAGAAGUUUUAGUUGAGACUAUUUCAUUAUUGGCCAGUGACACUCUGAACCCCUCAUAUUGUUAAUCCCCGUUAGCUACCUGAACCUUGAAGAAUUACUACUACUACUACUACUACUACUACUACUACUACUACUACUACUGCUGCUGCUACUACUACUAAUAAUAAUCACUAACACUUGAGUACUUGCAAUGUGUCAGCCACUGUUAUUAAUUUUUAUAUGCAUUCACUUGUUUAAUCCUCACAGCAAACUUGUGCUACUAUUAUCCUCAUUUUAUGUAUAAAGAAAUUAAAACACAGAUAAGUUAAGUAACGCCCAAGUUUAUAAAGCUUGUAAGUGCCAGAUUCUAGAUUCAUCUCUGAUGAUUCUGAUGUGAAUCCAUGUUUCUUCUAAAGGCUAUUAUAAAAGCUUCUUCUUUCUACCAAGAUAUAAGCCAGAAACCACAAAACAUUUCUCGGGAAAUCAUGGAGAACAUCAAGGGUGUUAGAGGAAGAAAUCACAAAAGCAUCUGUAAUUUCAUGACUAUUUAUAAGAGUAAAAGCUGAAAAAUGUGUUUGUGUCCCUCAAUAUGUCAAAUGUUUAUGUACAUAUACAUAUACAUAUGCAUUUUAUACAGAUUAAAAUAUAUAUGUUAAUAUAUUAUAGUUAGUAUAUUUAAUCAUUAAAAUUUAUUAAGUAGUAAUUGAAAAUUAAUUAAUCUAAAAGUACAUAAUUUUAUAUGUGUAAUUUUCUUUUUUCUUUCUUCUGCCACUUUACAUUAAGUUAUUUGGAUUACAAACUUAACAACUUGGGCUAUAGGUUGCAGAAUAUCAAGGUAGAAUCACAACAGAACUAAAGGGAAGUUGAUUAUAAGCCAGAUUUUGAAGUUGUCUGUUUAUGGAGUAUGAAAUAUUGAGUAGAAAGUAAGCUUAGAGUGGCAUGCCUCAGCACCAGGCCCAAGCUCAAGGCGUUCCUGGCAUCCCCAGAGCACGUGAACCGCUCCAUCAAUGGCAACAGGAAGCAGUGAGAGCUUGUGGCACCCUGGGUGGGAAGCUGGGGGGCUGCUUGACCUCCUUUCUCCCUGACCAAUAAAAUUUCCAAGUGAGAAGCAAAAAAAGAAAAAAGAAAGAAAAAAGAAAAUAAGCUUAUAUCUACGUGUAUGAAGGAAAAUUAUUUUACAUUACUUGUUUUAUGUUUUGUACUCCUUUUUUAUGGGUAGUAAAUAAGUCUUUUUCAACCAGAUUCCAGCCUUCCAUGAUUCCCCUUGAUUUUAUGAGACUUCUGGAGACUCAUAGGUAAUUUUUUAAAUAUUUAAUCAGGGGGACCUGGGUGGCUCAGUCGAUUAAGCACCAACUCUUGAUUUUGGCUCAGGUCAUGAUCUCAGGGUCCUCAGAUCAGCCUUACAUCAGGCUCCACACUGGCUGUGGAGCCUGUUUAAUAUUCUCUCUCUCCCUCUGCCUCUGCCCCUCUACCCACUUGCACUCCCUAUCAAUCAAUCAAAUUAAAUUACCAGAAUUGGUUUCCAUUAUUUUGCAACUGAAAAACUUAACUACACGCAUUUAUUCUGUGCCUUUACAUUUAAGGAAGGGGAUUUAAGCCUAUUUAUGGAUCUUGGGAAAGUUGCCAAAAGAGAAAUAUUAUUAAGAUAGAGAAGAAAGAGAGAGGAAAAAAAAAUAAAUGAAGUAAUGAAAAAGAAUAUGAAGAGACAGAAAAAUGAGAGAAUCUCAGUGUAUUUAUUAAGCCAAAAAUAUUUGUUAAGCACCAACUAUGUGUUAUAGAGUUUAAAAGUUUUAUAGAUAUUUUAGUUUGGAAGACAGAAGAAAACUUCUCCAAAAGUCAUUAGAUUUCAUCUUAAUGUCAUCCAAGGACAUAGUUGGUUUCCUUGUGAAUCCUAAGAAUGUCCAUAAACGCACCACUUUUUCCUCCUCAGAGCUGUGCCCUGGAGCUUUCAUAGAUCCUCAGAGCUAUGAAAAUUAGCAGAAAAACCAGGAUAUAUGAAGUAUGAUGGAAGCCAAGGACGGAGAAACAUGCAAGAAGGAAUAGAGGGAAAGAAAAGAGGAGCACGUCAUUCUGUACCCAAUAUAUCCACAUGCUGUAGAGGCAUAACAAUGUUGAAUACUGCAAAACAUCAAAAAUAACUAGAAUUGAGUAAAGAACUAGAAUUGCUGCGUAAUUAGGGAAUAAAACAGACAAGUUGAAUAUUAACACCUAGAAGAAAAAUUAAAUGAGAAUAAAAUGUAAAAGUUAGAAUUCACACUUUUCAGUAAAUACAAAACAAAUAAAUUACUAAAAGUUAGAGUUGUGAGCUGAAGCAGAAUUCAAACCAACUGGAAACUGUCAUUUUCAGUAACAAAAUAGAAGUCAACAAAAAAUGAAAUGAAGAAUUUCUCAGCAUGGUGAAUACCCAGCAUGAAAUUGUGGUGGAUCCAGUAAUAGUCAAAAGCUCUGAAAAAAGAAUCAGACUCAGGCUCACUCAGUCAUGAGAGUUGACAAAAUAGGAGUAACAGAAGGCCAAGAGGGCAAAGGAUUCCAGCACAGAUUUAAGUGUUCAACUGAUUUUGUGGGAAAGCACAUACUAUAAGAAGCACAUUUUUACUUUACGUAAUAGUACAAGCAUUAAAAUGAGCAUAGCCCAAGAAAUUCAGGCAGAUUGUAUUUAAAAAUUUAGAACAAUCUUAUAAAAUAUUAUCUAUGAAGGGCAGUGUGAUAGUCAUUUGAUCCCAACUAGGAUAAAAAUCAUCACAUGAUUUUGUAUUUGCAUAGAUAUUUACAAUUCAAUUUCUUGUUCUGAAUGCUUAUUCCAGAUAUUUGCUUUGUGGAAUUUUCAUCAUCAAGCUGGAUACUCAUGAGAAAAUUUCUCUAUAAAUACUUGUAUUCUAAAAAAAAAAUAAAAAUAAAAAUAAAUACUUGUAUUCUACAAUGAAACAAUUACUUUUUUUUUAAUAAAUCUCCACAGAUGGGAUCCCUGGGUGGCGCAGCAGUUUGGCGCCUGCCUUUGGCCCAGGGCGCGAUCCUGGAGACCCGGGAUUGAAUCCCACGUCGGGCUCCCAGUGCAUGGAGCCUGCUUCUCCCUCUGCCUGUGUCUCU
rnacentral:lncRNA from 1 species